CAUGCACUGCCCUGACUCCCAGAGUCCCCAGUGGGACUGAGCUCCAGCAAUCUAUCUACAGCGGGCUGUUUCCAAAGGACUUUGGAUUUUAUAGGAGGAACCAUCAAAGAUUGGGGACCUACUGGGAAGCCUAUAAUUUCCCAGUGUCAACUUUCUCAUUGGAUUCUAGCCAUCUGUACCUCAUGGUAGUAUCCAGAACACAGACAUGAAAGAUGUGCUUGCCUGGAGUGCUGAUUAGAGAUAUACAGCCUAUCUGGACUGGGGAAGAGCAGUC